UGUUCUUUAAAUGAGGACUCGUAUCAACGGCAUCACGAGGAUCCUACUGUCUCCCCCCUCUAAUCGGUGAAACUGAUCUCUCCGUGAAGAAGCGGAGAUGUACAUAUAAGACGAGAAGACCCCAUGGAGCUUUAAACCCAACAACACCCGCCCCCCUCCAAAUCCUAUUAUUUACCCGGUGAUUGUUUGUUUGGUUUUAGGUUGGGGUGACCGCGGAGUAUAAGAUAUCCUCCAUGAAAAAAAGCUAACUGCCCUUAUUAGAGAAAGACACUUCCAAAAAAUAAUAAAUUAAUUUUAAAUGAUCCGACAUUCGAUCAACGAACCAAGUUACCCUGGGGAUAACAGCGCAAUCCGUCCCGAGAGCCCCUAUCGACAGGCGGGUUUACGACCUCGAUGUUGGAUCAGGGUAUCCCAGUGGUGCAGCAGCUACUAAAGGUUCGUUUGUUCAACGAUUAAAACCCUACGUGAUCUG
rnacentral:rRNA from 1 species